GUAUUGUCAUUUUCCAGCUUGCAACUUGCUUGUGGAAGCGAUGUAAAUCUGAAAUCGUAGAAUCCACCGUCAACUCUCUGUUCAAUCGCCGCCACCGUAAACUCUGUUCAACCGCCGCCACCAUCAACUCUCUGUUCAAUCGCCGCCACACAACUCGACUCUUUCUUUCUAAGAAAUGCUGUGGAGCUUGGACCUUUUGGACCUUUGGCUGUUACUCUCAUGAAAAUGCCUCGUUUGAGUUUUUGUCGUGUUGAUGAAUUAGCUUUUGCAGUUAAUAAGCAUGAUCUUGGGAAUUACAGGCCUUUAAUAACUCUCUAUAAGGAUUGGAGUCAAAGUAACUUUGGUACUUCAGUGAAAUAGAUGAAACUUUGUUGCAACCCGUCAUUGAGGCUCUGCAACCUAUAGCUGAUGUCACUGUUGAAAGCCAAGUUUUGUACCUUACACCAAAGGCUUCGUUUUUUUGAUUGGGAUGAUGAACAUGGAAGCCACAUAUUCACCACUCAAGAUCUUCCUUUCUUUGUAUGCUCUAUGGUUCUGUGCUAUCAUUUAUAAUUUUUAAAUAGUAAAUACAGUUAUUUUGAAUAGAAUUGCCAUGUAUUUAGUUCUAUCUUAUUUUGUGACUUUGCAAACUUAUAUCAAUUGGAGGGAUGAUACAAUU